ACGAUGGUAGCCUAUACCAUUACUUAUACCCAUGUCGCUUUUUGCAGAAAGUGGGAAGAUGUGGACAUGCUGUUUCUACAGACAGUAACCAUAGCCUGCCUGGUGUCUACGUGUCCACUCAUCAAAGAACAACGAAGAGCUAAUCCUGCUUCUAGUGCUUACGUUCCCGACCCGAAGGAAGAUGGGUCACCUGCAGCUGCAGAGAAAUCCAGGUCUCCUGUGCAAGGGACAUUGGUCACAUGAUCAUCGAAGUUUAAGCCAGAUUGGUUGGAGGGUUUUGCUGAAAUUUCUGCUUGGAACCUCAGAAUUCAAAUUCAUCUGGCAAGUUUCAUCCCAGAGCAAUUCUUCAGCAGCGCUUUUUUUUCCCUAACCAUCGAAACACUAAAUUCAAAAUAAAGCAAUCCUCUACAGAUUUUUAUGACA
rnacentral:lncRNA from 1 species